rnacentral:misc_RNA from 1 species
UCUCCGUAGGUGAACCUGCGGAGGGAUCAUUACUGAGUGAGGGCUUCGGUCCGACCUCCAACCCUUUGUGAACCAAACUUGUUGCUUCGGGGGCGACCCUGCCGCUUCGGCGGUGCGGCGCCCCCGGAGGCCAUUAAACACUGCAUCUUUGCGUCGGAGUUUAAGUAAAUUUAUACAAAACUUUCAACAACGGAUCUCUUGGUGCUGGCAUCGAUGAUGAACGCAGC